UACGGAGGGUGCGAGCGUUGUCCGGAAUCAUUGGGCGUAAAGGGUGCGUAGGUGGUGAGGUAAGUCGGAUGUGAAAGCUCCGAGCUCAACUCGGAAAUGGCAUUGGAAACUACCUUGCUCGAGGGUUUGAGGGGGGACUGGAAUACUUGGUGUAGCAGUGAAAUGCGUAGAUAUCAAGUAGAACACCAGUGGCGAAGGCGAGUCCCUGGAAAACUCCUGACACUGAGGCACGAAAGCUAGGGGAGCAAACAGG
rnacentral:rRNA from 1 species